CUUCCUCGAUCUGCUGCGGGCAGAUGAAGUGGAUAUGCGAAUCGAUGCCGCCGGCGGUGACGAUCAUGCCUUCGCCGGCGAUGAUCUCGGUGGCGGCGCCAAUCGCCAUCGUGACAUUGGGCUGGAUAUCCGGAUUGCCGGCCUUGCCGAUGCCGGCAAUAUGACCAUUCUUGAUGCCGAUGUCGCCUUUGACGAUGCCCCAGUGGUCAAGUAUCACGGCGUUGGUGAUGACGGUGUCCAUCACCUGCGCGUGAGCCCUUUGCGACUGGCCCAUGCCAUCGCGGAU
rnacentral:sRNA from 1 species